UUUAGCUUUUAUGUUGAAGGCUAGCGUCGUAGCUACAUCGUUUGCCUGACUCCAGCCUUCACCGCUCCCCGUAUUGGCUUCACCUCUGGCCGGUUCCGUGUGUCCGCCGACUUCUCGGAGUGCAGUUAGUCGCUGAACAUGGGCCUUAUGACCGACCACAGCAGAGCGCAGAUCUCGGGCGUAACAGGGGGCGGCAACAUCAAGGCGUCUUGGUCCCAGUUCCGACGAACGCUG